CAUGUGCCUAGGCCAGAGGCUUAGACAAAAUAACCUCACAUCACGCAAGAGACGCGCCUGCUCCAAAAGGGAAGUCCAAAAGAGCGAACCCCCUCAAAAGCCUUUGAAUCAGCUUAAAUACCUUCUCGAUCUCGGCCCAGCUCACUUUGCAGAUGAGGACCCGAAAGCCAACAGGGUUGAAUGACUUGCCCAGGAUCACACAGCUAGUAAGUGUCUAAAGUCAGAUUUGAACUCAGGAAGAUGAGUCUUCCUAACUCUAGACCUAACUCUAUCCACUGUACUACCUUGCUGCCCCCACUGACAUUUACCAAUCACUUUAAAUUUUGUGAAGCAAAUAGCAUAUAUAACCUCAUUUGAGCCUCUUGAAACCCUGUGAUCUUGGUAGAUUUGAAAGGUAUUAUGUAUCAAACCCAUGUUCAGAAGAGUGUCUUGAAGGUCAAGGAGUUUAAGUGACUUGGCCAGGGUCACAUAGCUGGAAGGUGUCAGAGUUGGGAUUGGAGCCUACGUCUUCCCAACUCCAAGUCUCACCAUUUUGGCAAGCUUCCUGAUCUUAGGCAAGUCACUUGAUGGUAAAAAUAACAAGAAUAUCCACAAAAACAAGUUGCAUUUCUACCAGUGCUAUAAAGCUUUCAAAGCAUUUUUCCCUACAUUGUUUCUUGACAAUCUUAUAAGAUGAUACAAUAAGAAGUUGCCAUGAUACUUUUAAUAUUUUAAUAUUAAUUGUUAACAACAGGAUAUGUAACUAACCUACAUACUAGAUUAAAUAUAAAAGCAAAUGAAAUAGUUUAAAGUUAUAUUUUUCGCUCUGGAUCUCAGUUUCGCUAUUGGGAAAACGUAAAGGUGUAGUACUAGAUGAUCCCUUUCUUCAAGACCUACGAUCGUCAUUUUGAAAACCAUGAAUUGUCGUCUUACAAUAUUGCAGAAGAGUGUUGGGGGGGGGGCAGCUGGGUAGCUCAGUGGAUUGAGAGCCAGGCCUAGAGAUGGGAGGUCCUAGGUUCAAAUCUGGCCUCAGACACUUCCCAGCUGUGUGACCCUGGGCAAGUCACUUGACCCCCAUUGCCUAGCUCUUACCACUCUUCUGCCUUGGAGCCAAUACACAGUAUUGACUCCAAGAUGGAAGGUGAGGGUUUAAAAAAAAAAAGAAGAGUGUUGGCCGUUUAAAGGGUCUGCUUUCCUGGAUUUGG
rnacentral:lncRNA from 1 species